rnacentral:rRNA from 1 species
CACGUAGGAGGCGAGCGUUGUCCGGAAUCAUUGGGCGUAAAGAGCGCGCAGGCGGCUUGGCAAGUCGGUUGUGAAAUCCCGGGGCUCAACCCCGGGACUGCAUCCGAUACUGUCAGGCUAGAGGUAGGUAGGGGAGAUCGGAAUUCCUGGUGUAGCGGUGAAAUGCGCAGAUAUCAGGAGGAACACCGGUGGCGAAGGCGGAUCUCUGGGCCUUACCUGACGCUCAGGCGCGAAAGCUAGGGGAGCGAACAGG